rnacentral:rRNA from 1 species
UCCGAAGGGGGCUAGCGUUGUUCGGAAUUACUGGGCGUAAAGCGUAUGCAGGCGGAUCGUUAAGUCGGGGGUGAAAUCCCGAGGCUCAACCUCGGAACUGCCUUCGAUACUGGCGAUCUUGAGUCCGGGAGAGGUGAGUGGAACUCCGAGUGUAGAGGUGAAAUUCGUAGAUAUUCGGAAGAACACCAGUGGCGAAGGCGGCUCACUGGCCCGGUACUGACGCUGAGAUACGAAAGCGUGGGGAGCAAACAGG